UACGUAGGGUCCAAGCGUUAUCCGGAAUCACUGGGCGUAAAGCGUGUGUAGGCGGUGUGUUAAGUGCAAUGCGAAAUCCUGUGGCUCAACCAUAUGGACUGUGUUGCAUACUGGCAUACUAGAGGAUGGCAGAGGCAAGUGGAAUUGGUAGUGUAGCAGUGAAAUGCGUAGAUAUUACCAGGAACACCAAUGGCGAAGGCAGCUUGCUGGGCCAUAUCUGACGCUGAGACACGAAAGCGUGGGGAGCGAACAGG
rnacentral:rRNA from 1 species